UACGAGUAGCCCGAGUGUUGUCCACGAAUAUUGAGUCUAAAGCGAGUGUAGCCGGAUGCGCACGUCCUCCGUGAAAUCUCCCCGCCUAACGGGGAGGCUUGCGGGGGAUACGACGCGUCUUGGGAAUGGGGGAGACCCGGGGUACGAUAGGGGGAGGAGUAAAAUCCUGUAAUCCUUAUCGGACCACCAGUGGCGAAGGCGCCGGGCCAAAACAUGUCCGACGGUGAGACUCGAAGGCUAGGGGAGCAAAUGG
rnacentral:rRNA from 1 species